rnacentral:lncRNA from 1 species
CCGCCCCGGUUCCCGCCAGCGCCUCUCCCUCCACACCUCCCCACAAGCUGAGGGAGCCGGCUCCGGCCUUGGCCAGCCAAGAAAGGGGCUCCUACAGUGCAGCGGCGGGCUGAAGGGCUCAAGUGCCGCCAAAGUGGGAGCCCAGGCAGAGGAGGCGCCCAGAGCCAGCGAGGGCUGUGAGGACUGCCAGCAUGCUGUCACCUCUCAAUUACACACCAUGGUCAAAUCCUCUCAUAGUACAAGGUAUUUUAACAACUUGCAAAACCCCUAUCUGCAAUACUCAAGAAGACUAAUUUCAGAAUACUUAUCUGUGAAGCUGGAAAGCCAAAAUGAGAUUUCAGAGCCCUCACAGUGCUGGAGGAACAAAGUUGAACUUUAAGCUCAGCCAGGGUGCAGUGUACUAGGCUUUUGGUAACCCAUAGAAGUAUUUGAUCAGAGAUAUGAAAUAAUCAAUGCAAUUGUUUAAGAAGAUCAUCUGACAGUGGUGUACAGAUAUAUUGGAGUAAAAUAACACACACCAGUGAGAUGAGGUGGGAAGCAAGAACAAUUGUCCCCAUGAGAGACAAAUGCAUUAACAGUGGAAGCUGCUGAAAAGAUUUUCCAUUCAUGGAUUUUAAUGAGAAAGGAUGAAAAAUCAAAGUAGUUUUAAGGAUUAAGCAAAGGAUUGGGUAUGUAUUGUAUUAGAAAAUCUUACUGAUUUGCAUAUAAAAUAUAGGAUUAACUUGGUAUAAAUAUAUAUAUAAUAAAUACAUAAAAUAAAGAAUAACAGAAAAUGUUUCCACUCUUACAAAUGCAAAAAUAGAGAGAGAACAUCUGGUAGAGAGAGUAAUUAUAUUAGUAUUGAUCACAUUAUAAUAUUUAUAAUAAAGAAAAGUGUACAUUCUAACAAUUUAUUUUUUUCUAAAAACCUGCAUUUGUUAGUGGCAGGAAUUAUGCAACAAGAAAAUUAGUAUAUUUUAGAUAGUGAGUUUUAUUGCUAUACUUCUGGGCUGUGAAGGAGGCUUUUGUGAUUUACCACGGAC